rnacentral:snRNA from 1 species
GUGCUCACUCUGGCAGCACAUAUACUAAAAUUGGAAUGAUACAGAGAAUAUUAGCAUGGCCUUGCACAAGGAUAACACAAAGACUGGAAUGAUACAAAAAGGGAUA